CAGCAGCCACGGUAAAACGUAGGUGGCAAGCGUUGUCCGGAAUUAUUGGGCGUAAAGGGCUCGCAGGCGGUUUCUUAAGUCUGAUGUGAAAGCCCCCGGCUCAACCGGGGAGGGUCAUUGGAAACUGGGAAACUUGAGUGCAGAAGAGGAGAGUGGAAUUCCAUGUGUAGCGGUGAAAUGCGUAGAUAUAUGGAGGAACACCGGUGGCGAAAGCGGCUCUCUGGUCUGUAACUGACGCUGAGGCUCGAAAGCGUGGGGAGCAAACAGGAUUAGAUACCCGCGUAGUCCCUGUCUCUUAUAC
rnacentral:rRNA from 1 species